CGACUCUCGGCAACGGAUAUCUCGGCUCGCGCAUCGAUGAAGAACGUAGCAAAAUGCGAUACUUGGUGUGAAUUGCAGAAUCCCGUGAACCAUCGAGUUUUGAACGCAAGUUGCGCCCGAAGCCACCCGGUUGAGGGCACGUCUGCCUGGGCGUCACG
rnacentral:rRNA from 1 species